rnacentral:rRNA from 1 species
GACGAACGCUGGCGGCGUGCUUAACACAUGCAAGUCGAACGGAAAGGCCCUGCUUUUGUGGGGUGCUCGAGUGGCGAACGGGUGAGUAACACGUGAGUAACCUGCCCUUGACUUUGGGAUAACUUCAGGAAACUGGGGCUAAUACCGGAUAGGAGCUCCUGCUGCAUGGUGGGGGUUGGAAAGUUUCGGCGGUUGGGGAUGGACUCGCGGCUUAUCAGCUUGUUGGUGGGGUAGUGGCUUACCAAGGCUUUGGCGGGUAGCCGGCCUGAGAGGGUGACCGGCCACAUUGGGACUGAGAUACGGCCCAGACUCCUACGGGAGGCAGCAGUGGGGAAUAUUGCACAAUGGGCGGAAGCCUGAUGCAGCAACGCCGCGUGCGGGAUGAAGGCCUUCGGGUUGUAAACCGCUUUCGCCUGUGACGAAGCGUGAGUGACGGUAAUGGGUAAAGAAGCACCGGCUAACUACGUG